rnacentral:rRNA from 1 species
GGGUUGUGAGGUUAAGCGACUAAGCGUACACGGUGGAUGCCCUGGCAGUCAGAGGCGAUGAAGGACGUGCUAAUCUGCGAUAAGCGUCGGUAAGGUGAUAUGAACCGUUAUAACCGGCGAUUUCCGAAUGGGGAAACCCAGUGUGAUUCGUCACACUAUCAUUAACUGAAUCCAUAGGUUAAUGAGGCGAACCGGGGGAACUGAAACAUCUAAGUACCCCGAGGAAAAGAAAUCAACCGAGAUUCCCCCAGUAGCGGCGAGCGAACGGGGAGCAGCCCAGAGCCUGAAUCAGUGUGUGUGUUAGUGGAAGCGUCUGGAAAGGCGUGCGAUACAGGGUGACAGCCCCGUACACAAAAAUGCACAUACUGUGAGCUCGAUGAGUAGGGCGGGACACGUGGUAUCCUGUCUGAAUAUGGGGGGACCAUCCUCCAAGGCUAAAUACUCCUGACUGACCGAUAGUGAACCAGUACCGUGAGGGAAAGGCGAAAAGAACCCCGGCGAGGGGAGUGAAAAAGAACCUGAAACCGUGUACGUACAAGCAGUGGGAGCACGCUUAGGCGUGUGACUGCGUACCUUUUGUAUAAUGGGUCAGCGACUUAUAUUCUGUAGCAAGGUUAACCGAAUAGGGGAGCCGAAGGGAAACCGAGUCUUAACUGGGCGUUAAGUUGCAGGGUAUAGACCCGAAACCCGGUGAUCUAGCCAUGGGCAGGUUGAAGGUUGGGUAACACUAACUGGAGGACCGAACCGACUAAUGUUGAAAAAUUAGCGGAUGACUUGUGGCUGGGGGUGAAAGGCCAAUCAAACCGGGAGAUAGCUGGUUCUCCCCGAAAGCUAUUUAGGUAGCGCCUCGUGAAUUCAUCUCCGGGGGUAGAGCACUGUUUCGGCAAGGGGGUCAUCCCGACUUACCAACCCGAUGCAAACUGCGAAUACCGGAGAAUGUUAUCACGGGAGACACACGGCGGGUGCUAACGUCCGUCGUGAAGAGGGAAACAACCCAGACCGCCAGCUAAGGUCCCAAAGUCAUGGUUAAGUGGGAAACGAUGUGGGAAGGCCCAGACAGCCAGGAUGUUGGCUUAGAAGCAGCCAUCAUUUAAAGAAAGCGUAAUAGCUCACUGGUCGAGUCGGCCUGCGCGGAAGAUGUAACGGGGCUAAACCAUGCACCGAAGCUGCGGCAGCGACGCUUAUGCGUUGUUGGGUAGGGGAGCGUUCUGUAAGCCUGUGAAGGUGUGCUGUGAGGUAUGCUGGAGGUAUCAGAAGUGCGAAUGCUGACAUAAGUAACGAUAAAGCGGGUGAAAAGCCCGCUCGCCGGAAGACCAAGGGUUCCUGUCCAACGUUAAUCGGGGCAGGGUGAGUCGACCCCUAAGGCGAGGCCGAAAGGCGUAGUCGAUGGGAAACAGGUUAAUAUUCCUGUACUUGGUGUUACUGCGAAGGGGGGACGGAGAAGGCUAUGUUGGCCGGGCGACGGUUGUCCCGGUUUAAGCGUGUAGGCUGGUUUUCCAGGCAAAUCCGGAAAAUCAAGGCCGAGGCGUGAUGACGAGGCACUACGGUGCUGAAGCAACAAAUGCCCUGCUUCCAGGAAAAGCCUCUAAGCAUCAGGUAACAUCAAAUCGUACCCCAAACCGACACAGGUGGUCAGGUAGAGAAUACCAAGGCGCUUGAGAGAACUCGGGUGAAGGAACUAGGCAAAAUGGUGCCGUAACUUCGGGAGAAGGCACGCUGAUACGUAGGUGAAGCGACUUGCUCGUGGAGCUGAAAUCAGUCGAAGAUACCAGCUGGCUGCAACUGUUUAUUAAAAACACAGCACUGUGCAAACACGAAAGUGGACGUAUACGGUGUGACGCCUGCCCGGUGCCGGAAGGUUAAUUGAUGGGGUUAGCGCAAGCGAAGCUCUUGAUCGAAGCCCCGGUAAACGGCGGCCGUAACUAUAACGGUCCUAAGGUAGCGAAAUUCCUUGUCGGGUAAGUUCCGACCUGCACGAAUGGCGUAAUGAUGGCCAGGCUGUCUCCACCCGAGACUCAGUGAAAUUGAACUCGCUGUGAAGAUGCAGUGUACCCGCGGCAAGACGGAAAGACCCCGUGAACCUUUACUAUAGCUUGACACUGAACAUUGAGCCUUGAUGUGUAGGAUAGGUGGGAGGCUUUGAAGUGUGGACGCCAGUCUGCAUGGAGCCGACCUUGAAAUACCACCCUUUAAUGUUUGAUGUUCUAACGUGGACCCGUAAUCCGGGUUGCGGACAGUGUCUGGUGGGUAGUUUGACUGGGGCGGUCUCCUCCUAAAGAGUAACGGAGGAGCACGAAGGUUGGCUAAUCCUGGUCGGACAUCAGGAGGUUAGUGCAAUGGCAUAAGCCAGCUUGACUGCGAGCGUGACGGCGCGAGCAGGUGCGAAAGCAGGUCAUAGUGAUCCGGUGGUUCUGAAUGGAAGGGCCAUCGCUCAACGGAUAAAAGGUACUCCGGGGAUAACAGGCUGAUACCGCCCAAGAGUUCAUAUCGACGGCGGUGUUUGGCACCUCGAUGUCGGCUCAUCACAUCCUGGGGCUGAAGUAGGUCCCAAGGGUAUGGCUGUUCGCCAUUUAAAGUGGUACGCGAGCUGGGUUUAGAACGUCGUGAGACAGUUCGGUCCCUAUCUGCCGUGGGCGCUGGAGAACUGAGGGGGGCUGCUCCUAGUACGAGAGGACCGGAGUGGACGCAUCACUGGUGUUCGGGUUGUCAUGCCAAUGGCACUGCCCGGUAGCUAAAUGCGGAAGAGAUAAGUGCUGAAAGCAUCUAAGCACGAAACUUGCCCCGAGAUGAGUUCUCCCUGACCCUUUAAGGGUCCUGAAGGAACGUUGAAGACGACGACGUUGAUAGGCCGGGUGUGUAAGCGCAGCGAUGCGUUGAGCUAACCGGUACUAAUGAACCGUGAGG